AUGAGUCGACCACUCCAUCCUCCACAUCACUCUUUCUUCUCUUCCCCAAGAAGAAGGCUCCCUUCCACGGUUCGUUCUAUCUCUUCUCCACCGGCCACUCCAUCCUCCCUUCCCUCCCCAGGUCCCUACUUGUUGCACCAUGCCUUCCCCCACAUCCUAGGGCAGCAUAGACCUGACCUUGAAGAAGAAGUGGAGACAAGAAGAGGAGGAGAAGAAGAUCCUCACCUCCCUCCCCUGUCCGAUUCCCCUUGCUCAAGCCUCGAAGGGAAACAGAGCAAUAAUAAACCUGUCUGGAUGGUACCACGAUUCAAGAUGAGCUUGAUUCCGGCCAUUGUGGGUCAGGUCCUUCUCCUUGAGAGGCAGGAAGCUAGAACUGCGCAACAGGAGGUCUGCGUUGUGAUUCCAUGGUUCUUUCCCUCUGGCUGGAUGUGUUUCUCCCGCAAAAUAGUGUAUGCUAAAAUGAUGUGA
rnacentral:rRNA from 1 species